GACGAACGCUGGCGGCGUGCCCAACACAUGCAAGUAGAACGCUGAAGGAGGAGCUUGCUUCUCCGGAUGAGUUUCGAACGGGUGAGUAACGCGUAGGUAACCUGCCUGGUAGUGGGGGCUAACGAUUGUAAACGAUAGCUAAUACCGCAUAAGAGUAAAUGUGGCAUGACAUUUGCUUAAAAGGUGCAACUGCACCACUACCAGAUGGACCUACGUAGUAUUAGGUAGUUGGUCGGGUAACGGGUCAGCUAGGCAACGAUACAUAUCCUACCCGAGAGGGUGAUCAGCCACACUGGGAAUGAGACAAGGACCAGCCUUCUAAGGGAGGCAGCAGCAGGGAAUCUUCGGCAAUGGGCGGAAGUGUGACCGAGCCACGCCGCGAGAGCGAAGAAGGGUUUCGGAUCGUAAAGGUAUGUUGUAAGCGAAGAACGAGUGUGAGAGUGGAAAGUUGACACUGUGACGGUAUCUUACCAGAAAGCGACGGCUAACUCCGUG
rnacentral:rRNA from 1 species